rnacentral:lncRNA from 1 species
UCUACAAGGCUUAUAUCAGCCAAUACCUACUCCUGUACCAGCCUAUACCAGCCCACUACUCUAGCUGGUGUACUUCUACCAACUAUGGAAGACUAAAUGGCCUAUUGCCAUACUCCUACAGUGGCAGCCGAGAGCUGACCACUUGAACCUGCCAUAUGCAGGACAAAAAUACAAGAGGGACAGCAGAUUAUAUCUUACAAUCUUUCCCUAAUCCUGCUGUGUACUCUUGACCUCCACCAUGCCAAUCUUGCUCCUUAGUUCCAAGAACCGAAGUCGCCCAACUGGCUUAGUGAAGAUGUCAGCGAGUUGUCGACCGGUUUCAACGAAUUCGAUGACAAUCUGCUUCUCCUCGACGCAAUCACGAAGGAAGUGAAACUUCACAUCAAUGUGUUUGCUUCGGUCGUGGAGAACAGGGUUCUUUGCCAGCGCUAUUGCUGGCUGAUUGUUCACCUUGAGCACAGGCGGCUGGGGCUCAAUGCCUGUGAGCUCCCCCAGCAGCCGGCGCAUCCACACCAACUGGCAUGCCGCGGUGGCUGCAGCGACAUACUCUGCCUCGCAAGUCGACAAUGCCACCGUCUUCUGCUUCAGCGACUGCCAGGCGACAGGUGCCAUGCCGAGGAGGAUCAACACGCCUGAGGUGCUGCGUCGUCCAUCAACAUCGCCUGCCAUGUCCGCGUCACUAUAAGCCGCGAGCUUCAGCCCGCCUCCACCAGACCCGCCGCCUUUAGGGAAGACGAGAGCCUGGUCCACCGUCCCCUGGAUGUAGCGCAGGACCCGCUUGACUGCCAUCCAGUGAUCCUCCCGUGGAUCCUCCAUGAACCGGCUCACAUACCCGACCGCGAACGCGAUGUCCGGCCGAGUAUGGGUGAGCCAGCGCAGCCCGCCGACGAUGCUUCGAUAGCGCGUUGCGUCCACCUUCUCCGCCGUGCUCUGCUUUGGCAGCUUGAUUCGUUCCUCCAUCGGGGUCGCCGCAGGCCUGCAAUUUGCCAUGCCAGCCCGCUCCAUGCCAGCCCGCUCCAGUACCUUGCGCGCGUAGGCGCGCUGCCCCAGCGUGACUGCCUUGCUUCCCUGCUUCACCUCGAUGCCGAGGUAGUAGCUUAGCACACCGAGAUCGGUCAUCUGGAACCUUGCCGCCAUCUUGGUUUUGAAGGAUAAAAUGUCCUUCUCCCGCGCUCCGGUGACGAUCAAAUCGUCCACGUACACCCCGACGACGAGUUCUUCCUUCCCCCGUCGGCGGGUGUACAAGGUAUGCUCUGUUGCGCACCGUGAGAACCCAAGCUCCGCCAUGGUGGCGUCGAGCUUGGAGUUCCAUGCUCGCGGUGCCUGCCGCAAGCCGUAGAGCGCCUUCCUGAGGCGGAGCACCUUGUGCUCGACCCCCUUCACGGUGAAGCCUGGGCCCUGCUUGACGAAGACCUCCUCCAUCAAGUCGCCGUUGAGGAAGGCGGAUUUGACGUCGAGGUGGUGAACUGCCCAGUCCUUGGUCGCCGCCAUGGCCAGCACGAGUCGCACCGACUCCAUGCGCGCCACUGGCGCGAACACCUCCUCGAAAUCGAUCCCUUCUCGCUGCACGAACCCCCGAGCGACGAGCCGCGCCUUGUGCUUCACCACCGCGCCGUGCUCGUCCUUCUUCACCUUGUAGACCCAUUUGAGUCCGAUCGACCGGCAUCCAACCGGUGGAUCGACCAACUCCCAGGUCCGGUUGGCUUCUAUCUACCGCAUCUCCUCCAACAUGGCACGCCGCCACUCCGGCUCGCGCUCCGCAGCUGCGAAAGUGGCCGACUCUUCUGUGCUCAACAUCAUGAGCUCCUCUUCCUCGCCCAGCAGCCGUGCCGCCAAACCUGGAGUCGCUGCAUCACCGAGAACGUUGUCGACACGGCGGAACCGUACCUCCUCGCCGUCGUGGAAGGCGUCCACGAACUUGGUGACAUCCUGCGGUGGAGUAGCAUACUCCACUUGAGCUGCCGUUGGAGUCCUCUGCUCCUGUCCUGAGACAGCGUGAGGUGGAGUGCCGACCGUCGUGGUGGGACUGGGCGGCUCAGCUUCCCCUGCUGCUGGUGCCUCGUCCCUUGCUUCCCCUGCUCCAGGGGCAGCAGCUUCCUCCACGACCCCUGCUGGCGCUGGGGCUUUGCUGGUGAUGACCAGCUGCUCGACGACGAAGGACCCGUCGAACCCGAGCGCGCCCUCUUCUUCCGCCAAGUCUUCCUCAUCCCACCUCCAUGCCCCUGCUUCGUCGAACACGACGUCGCGGGACACUGUCACCCUCCCGGUGACCGGAUCACAGAGCCUGUAGGCUUUUGAUCCUUCCUCGUAGCCGAGGAAUACCAUCUUUGUGCUCCUGUCCUCAAGCUUGGUGAGGCCGGGCUUGGUGUUCUUCACAUGCCCAAUGCACCCAAACGUGCGCAUGAAUGCCACGCUUGGCUUGCGCCCAUGCCAAGCUUCAAACGGCAUCCUCCCGUUCAACGCCUUCGUCGGUGCUCUGUUGAGGAUGAACACCGCCGUGCUUACUGCCUCACCCCAGAACGCCGCCGGCAUUCCCUUGGCCUUCAGCAUGCACCUUGCCAUCCCGACGAUGGACUGAUUCCGGCGUUCCACCACGCCGUUUUGCUGAGGUGAGUAGGGCGCCGUGAGAUGGCGUUCCACUCCCUCCUCCGCGCAGUAGGUGGCGAACUCCACCGCCGUUGUUGGCACAGAAACUCUGCACCGAGGUGAGCAGCACCUGCUCUCCUCCCCUCUCCCACUCCCCUCCGCGGUCUGUUCGCAGCACCCUCAGUCUUCUCCCAGACUCUGCCUCCACCUUCGCCUUGAGUUGCUUGAUGGCUUCUGCUGCCUCGCUCUUGCUAGCCAGGAGCCGCAACCACAUGUAGCGAUUGUAGUCAUCCACCAGCAGGAGGAAAUACCUCCGCCCUCCGUGCGUGGCCGAGGUGAUAGGCCCGCAUAGGUCGCCAUGAACCAGCUCAAGCUUCUCCCCGGCGCGGUACCUUGCCUCCUUGGGGAACGACAGUCUCCUCUGCUUCCCCACCAGGCAGCUGUCACAAAGCUCGCUGGCGUGUUGGAUCUUGGGCAUCCCCCUCACCAUUGCCGCCAGUCUGCUCAGUGCGUCGAAGUUCAAAUGCCCGAACUGGCCAUGCCACAGCCACGGCUCCUCCGUGCACUGUGCCGCCAGGCACACCGGCUGUUCGACCUUAAGGUCCAGCAAAAAUAGCCAGUUCUUCGACCUUGUGACCUUGGCCAGCAACCGCCGAUCUUGGUCACGAAUCCGCAGCACCCCGCCCUUGAUCACCACCUCAGCGCCACGCUCGUCCAACUGCCCGAGGCUGAUGAUGCUUGUCCUCAGCUGUGGGAUCCAGUAGACAUCCGUCAUCGCCCGGUGUUCGCCGUUCCGACACCGGAACAGGACAGUGCCACGGCCGCGGAUCGCCACCCGGGAGCCAUCGCCAAACUUGACGCUCCCGGUGGUUUCUUCGUCCAACUCGGAGAAGACGGCGCGAUUUCCCGUCAUGUGAUUGCUCGCGCCGGAGUCCAAGUACCAGCGCUGCUCCAGCUCGUCGCCGAUCGCCCCCAAUUGGACCUGCGCCUGUGGCUCGUCAAGAUUGACGGCACGCGCAGCAGUCCCCUGCUUCGCGUCCGCCUCUCCUGCUUCGCCUUGGAGCGCGCAGUACUCCCCCAACAUGAGAGCGUGUUCAUCGUUGUCGCUGUCCACAGCCGCCAGAUGAGCCUCCUCCUUCUCCUUGCGCUCCUGGCACUCUCGCGCCCAAUGCCCGACCUUGCCGCACUUACGGCAAGCGUUGGGGUCGAAGUAUUUCUUCUUCCCCUUCUUCUUGUCUGCCGGCGGCUUACCGCACCCUUUGGCGCCAUCUCCGCCGCCGCGACUGGUGGAGCCUUCCCUGGUCCGGCGCUUGUCCUUCAUGCGCGCGGUCCACUCCUCUUCCGUCAGGAGUAGCUUGGGCUUCUCUUUCUCCGGUGCCGGCGCAAUGCGGCUUUCUGCCACCCGCAGCCGCCCUGCCACGUCCUCCAGAGACAGCGUGGAGAUGUCCAACAUGGUCUCGAUGGACAUGGCGAGCUGCGAGUAUUUUGCCGGCACGGUGCACAACAGCUUGGUGACGAGGUCCUCGUCGUCCACCUUCUUCCCGUAGGUGGCCAGCUGCGUGGCCAGAGAUUGGAGGCGAAGGGUGAAGUCCUCCACCGGCUCUCCGGGCUUGAACUUGAUGUCGUUGAGCUCCCUGCGCAGCUGCUGGAUCCUGGCCCGCUUGGCUCGGUCCGAGCCGACGCGCAGCGAUUCCAGCAUCUCCCAGGCCUGCUUCACGGUGUCCUUGGCGCCCAGCGCCUCGUGGUACUCCGCCGGCGUCGAGGCCAUGAGCGCCUCCAUGAUCCCCACCUGGGCAUCCUCGCUCCGGUCAUCCUCCUCGAUCGCCCGCCACCACUUCCGCGCGCGCAGCUUCCACUUCAUGUGCGUCGCCCACUCACCGUAGUUGGUGCGGGUGAGCAUGGGCCAGGAGCCGCCGCCGCUGAACUCCUUCACCACACGCACCUCGACCUGCGGUGGCGCCGGCUGGAGCUGGAGCUCACCACCUUCCCCUCCGCCGUUCCGCAUCGCACUCUCUGCCAUCUGCAAUUUGUGGACCUAGCUACGGCUGAUACCAGUUGUUGGCACAGAAACCCUGCACCGAGGUGAGCAGCACCUGCUCUCCUCCCCUCUCCCACUCCCCUGCUCCAAGGAAGAAGAAGAGCCCUGAGCUCCUUCACUCACACACGCAGCACACACAUACCCAGUUUUCAGACUUGAACUGAAAACUUGGAGAACUGAAUGAGUGGCAAUGAACUUCGUUUUCCAUUGCAAUAGGUAGAGUAUAUAUAUACACAAACUAUGUACCUGCUGGUACACUACUUGGAUGGUGACUACACCAUUCCAACAACUACUCUACAAGGCUUAUAUCAGCCAAUACCUACUCCUAUACCAGCCUAUACCAGCCCACUACUCUAGCUGGUGUACUUCUACCAACUAUGGAAGACUAAAUGGCCUAUUGCCAUACUCCUACAGUGGCAGCCGAGAGCUGACCACUUGAACCUGCCAUAUGCAGGACAAAAAUACAAGAGGGACAGCAGAUUAUAUCUUACAUGGACACAUUAUUCUGAUAAACUCUUGUUUACAUCAGGUACCU